CUCAUGGUAAGAUGUGCCGUUCGUCUCUUUUUGAGGCCAGUAAAGAAGGACAAGAGUUCUGAUGCUUCUUUGCUAUGAAGAUCAACCUCAAAAAAGCCUAUCAUUGCAUCAAGUGGGAGUUUUUGCGCCACGAAGAGCUAUCCUUGCCAAGUCGGUGUUAAAUGCCAUCCCCUUGUAUCCAAUGCAAGUCUCAAGGGUUCCAACCACAAUUUUGUAAUGAAAUUGAGAAGCUAUAAAGGAACUUUAUUUGGGGAAAUACCAACUCAAGAGGAAUCCAACCUCUUAGCUGAAACAAAACCAUUUUACCCAAGGCUUAUGGAGGACUCAUCAGUAAACAAGGCAAUACAAAGCUUGCUUGGGGACUUGGCUCAGGCAGCAAAGGGUUGUGGGCUGAUCUACUGCAGCAAAAAUAUGUGUAUAGAUUAGAAGAUGAUCUACUGAAUAUUAAGAAAGGCAAUUCGCAGCUUUGGAAAUUUAUCGUCCAACAAAAAGAUCUUGUGAAGGAGGGCACGAGAUGGCAAGUAAUAAAUGGUGAGUCGGUAAAUUUCUUUGAUGAUUUUUGUCUAUUUUCUGAUAAAAAGAUCAAGGAUAUGGUUUUAAGACCUCUAAAAGAUGAGGAAGGAAGCUCAAAAGUAGCUGAAUGGACUCGUUUUGGUUCAUGGGACUUUGUCAGACUUUCUUUUAUUGUUUCAUAUGAGGUCCUCCCUAAACUUAUCUCUGUCAUGCCCCCUUCUCCUUCUGCUAGGUAUGUUUACCUUAAAAAAAGUUAAAAAAGUGCUUACUUUAUGAUAGAAGACCCAUCACUAGAUCUGUAUAGUCCUUUAUUUAAGAAAAUCCAGAAAUGGAAAGGGGUUGAAUGAAUUCAUUUCUUCAUUUGGCUUACAGUUCACAAUAGACUGUCAUUCCAUUCAAUUGAAUUGGGAUUCUCCGGAUCUAACAUGUCUCUUAGGGGGAGUAACAUGAAGCUCAGAAUUUGGGGUGUAUUUAAGACUCCCAAAUAAAAAGGAUUACCCACUAAUGCACAGAGAAGCUCGUGGGCUAAUUGUUCUUCUUUUUGCUUUGGUGUGAUACUGAAGUGGAGGAUGUACUAAAUAUUCUCCGGGAUUGCAGUUAAGCACGAUUAUUUUGGUAUAAGCUUGUACCAAGUAAGUACUAUUCUCAUUUCUUUUCUGCUUCACUAAGUAUCUGGGUCGCUUGGAAUCUAGAAUCAAAUUGGCAUUCUAGACACUCGUCUAACCGGUAUCUGAUUUGGGGAUUGGUAUGGAAAUGAUGGAAGUUUUAUGUUUUUAAGGAUGAUACUGAGUUAAUUAAAGGUGCUUCAAGUAAUACUUGCGUAUAAACUUGGCAACCUCCUCCUCUGGACAGGGUUAAAAUAAAAACUGAUGGAGCAAUCUCUUCUUCCAUGAACAAGGCAAGGUGUGGGGGAGUUUUGAGAGAUCAUGAUGGCUCAUGGAUAGUUGGUUUCUCCCACAAUCUUGGCUGUUGCAACCCCUUUGAAGCUGAAGAACGGACUGUCUUAAGAAGCAAUAGACUAGUAUGGGAUAUAGGCUUCAAGAAUGUCAUAGUAGAGGCUGAUUCUAAGACGCUGGUAAAGCUAAUUAAUGGGUAGCAUCAAAGCCCAAUCAAAGGUAGUUUGGUCCUACUGGAAAUUUGUAACUUUAACUCUAAUUUGGAAGUUGAAGUUUAGCAUGUGUCAAGGGAGAAGAACAAAGCGGCAGAUAUGCUGGCCAAAGAGGGAAUCUCUUCUUCAAGUCUAUAUGACUUGGUGCCCCCAUUUUUUAUAGAUUUAGUACGGAAAGAGAGUCUGGGAUUUCAAUGCCCUGUUAAUGUUUAAUUUUCUAAUGUAAUCUGGGCAUUGCCCUCUCCUUUACCGAAAAAAAAAAAACAUAUUCAUUUCACGUAGGAGGAGGGAAAAAAGAAAACAUUAGAACAACACCAUAUCAACCUACAGACAAAAUCACCAUCGCUAGCUAACAAACAAAACGAUAAAGGCUGGCUAAAAAAUUUGAUGCCUUUCUUGUCUGUCAAAAAAGAAAAGUGCCUUUGUGGCUAGUACAAAAGUUAUUCCACUGUUAUGUGGAACUAUAGGCAAUAGCCAAGAGAAGUAGUGCAACGAGUUCUUUUUUUUUUCAUGGUCAUAGUAUUCAUGGAUUUCGGUUACUAUACUUAAUAUAAGCAUUGAGAGUUUGUAUCA